rnacentral:rRNA from 1 species
UACGAAGGGGGCUAGCGUUGCUCGGAAUCACUGGGCGUAAAGCGCACGUAGGCGGCUUUCUAAGUCAGGGGUGAAAUCCUGGAGCUCAACUCCAGAACUGCCUUUGAUACUGGAGAGCUUGAGUCCGGAAGAGGUGAGUGGAACUCCGAGUGUAGAGGUGAAAUUCGUAGAUAUUCGGAAGAACACCAGUGGCGAAGGCGACUCUUUGGUCUGUAACUGACGCUGAGGCGCGAAAGCGUGGGGAGCAAACAGG